UUCGAUUGACCAUGCAAUCAAUGCUUCCAGAAGGAUGCACAGCCAAAAACGAUGGUUUGCAUGCCCUGCCGAAGGACCCUAUCAUGCGCAAUAGGUGGUUGGAUUUCGUUGCUCUCCAGUGGUGACAAAGUGCACAGUUGGUCAUGAACGGAUGCCAGGACCUACAAGAAAGAGCAAAGCUUGUCAGGAAAGACCUCAGAAUAAAAGUGUGUCAUGCGACACAAGUACUCGUGUGAUAAGGAGGACCGAGCACUCCCCCAUUCUCAUCGACGGGGCUGUAGUGGAGCAGGUUGAGAGCUUCAAGUUC